UUCGAUGGAUCAGUGUGUUA
rnacentral:siRNA from 1 species